CCUUUUAAGUGAAGGAGAGUAAGGAAAGUGGUUGGGGUAUUCCAAGAUGUGAAGAAUCCUGUCUUUUGUGUGGAAUUCAAGAUAUUGAUCAACUUUUCCCACAAGAAGAAGCAUUUGCCUCCAGGGUACCAUGGACGUGUGGCAAUAUAAAUCCAAAGGACAACUGAGGCCUAGUUAAAAGCCACUUUCCUGAACAUUCAGUUUUAGACUACAUUGUUUGCUAACAAUAGGACUCAAACUGAUUUACAUACUAAGGAAAAACUCUGCUAGGGAAAUUAAUCUUAGGUGUCAUAUCAAUUAAAUGCUCUUAUUACUUAAUUGUAAUGUUUUUAAUGUACUGAAUAGGUUAAUUUGAAUAAAUUCACAAUUGUUUGAAAA